rnacentral:lncRNA from 1 species
AUUGAAAAGAUCCAUUUCUUCCAAAAAAAAUAUCUAUAAAACUAUCUUAAUAAUGUUAGGAGAUUGUAAUUUUAUUGGAUUAUUUAGAAAUAUCAACUUAUUAAUUAUUAUUUUCCAUUAAUUUCUUCAUUUGUUGAUAUCUACUAAUUGAAGGUAUUAUCCUUAUUAAAUUCUUUGCAUGUAUUAUUAUUGAUUUAAAGACAAUGUUGGAAGUUGAGAUAAAAAACAAGUAAUAUAUUCAUGUAGAAGUCAAAUUUGUAUUCAGUUAAGCAACACUACAUUGAUUUUAAAUCAAAAUUUUCAUACCUC